CAUUAAGGGGCUUACAGAAAUAAAAGCAGGAACAAAGUCAUCUGAUGUUGAAUGUGGGAAAUCCACUACUCCAGUUGCUGUUAUAGUUGGAGUCACACUUGGUGUUCUUUCUACUUCGAUGGCUGCUUUUACGGCUUUAUUAAUAUACAACUUCAAGUUUAGACGUAAACCAUGUGACAGAAAUGUCCGUUAUUUCUCACAACCAGUGAGUGACUUAGAACCAAGAACACCAGACUGUGUGGCAAAUUUGAUGUACUCGGAUCAUCAUUUCUCCAA